CUUUUUAGGGCUAGCAGAAUUAGCCGGUAUCAAUCAGUUAAUAAUAAUGAAAGUGCAUAUAUUUUAGAAUAACAGAAUAUGAAAAUUUGAAAGGACCUCAUUAUUCAUUUAUUCUAAGGCAUGCAUAAAAGGAAUCUACUCUUUAACAAGUCUCUGAAAGUGGUCAUUUCAUCUCUGCUUGAAUAGCACUUCAAGAAGAAGAAGAAGAAGAAGAAGAGAGGAAGAUGAGGAAGAAGAAGAGGAAGAAAAAGACACAAUCUCUUAAAGCAACUACUGUGUGCAGAACACUGGAACUACUCCAACUGGAAGUAAGCAAACAAUGAAUGCCUAUAAGUUACCUGCUAUGUGACGGACACUUCCCAAAGGCUAAUGUCUUGGGGAAAACUGGCAAAUGAUGAACCAUCUCCUCUCAGUGCUGGAAUCAUCAAAGUCCUGCUACAAUACCAUGGAUGGUCAUAUUGUGUGAAGAACAUCUUAGGAGGUUUCUUUUCUGGCACGGGAAAAGGUAGGCUAAUCAUAAGGGCAUAGGGUCUUAUUUAUGGGACACCUGAUUAUGAGUUCUUCCAGAAU
rnacentral:lncRNA from 1 species